AAGCCAUGAUGUGGGAUGGAGUUUAGCAAAUCCUUAUACCUCUCCCAAUAAUUGUAAAAUGAUUCCCCCUCUUUUUGUUUAAACAUUUGAAUCUGAUUCAUGAGUUC